AGCUAGUAAAAGUAUAUACCAUUUUAUCAAUGGCUAGCAAUUUAAGUAGAAGUUUGUGAAUUCCUAAUAAAUGAAAACAUUGUAGUAGUUAAUUAGAUUAUCGCGUAUAUAAAGACGUUUUCGCGCCCGUGACGGUCAUAUCGACAUGAUAAUUUCAAUUGCGGUUUUUAUUGCUUUUGUACUAGCAACAACCCAAGACAUAGAAUGUAAAACACGUGACGAAGAUGAUAUGAAAGAAGUGGAUAUAUUUUUGGACACGGUUGACACAAGCUUCGAUACAAAACGUGCUAUAACAAACGGAGCUCGAUUCGCUCGUAGCAGAAAGAAAGAUAGACAUAAAAAUAAUACGAAUAUGAAUAGACAGGAGAAAUUGGUCGCUGGUCUUGUUGUACGUGUACUUUUUAAGGCUUUUAAAGAAAUGGCGAAACGUGUGGACUGGUAAAUGACUUGCCGGGCGAUUAAUUCGUGAUCGAAAUAAAUGUUUUGAUUUUUCA